UACAGAGACUGCAAGCGUUAUUCGGAUUCACUGGGCGUAAAGGGUGCGCAGGUGGCCGUGUGUGUCAGAUGUGAAAUCCCGGGGCUUAACUCCGGAACUGCGUCUGAAACUACACGGCUAGAGCAUUGGAGAGGGUAGUGGAAUUCACGGUGUAGCAGUGAAAUGCGUAGAUAUUGUGAGGAACACCAGAGGCGAAGGCGACUACCUGGACAAUAGCUGACACUCAGGCACGAAAGCGUGGGGAGCCAAAGGG
rnacentral:rRNA from 1 species